AACACCAGCACACGACACAUCACGUCGCAGCCAUGGCUGUCACCAAAGAGAAGAAGUCCUUCAAGAAGUUUGCCAAGAAGCACUUGGCCGGCGUCAUCGAGACCCGCCGCAAGACUGCCAAGUCCAAGAAGGAAAAGCUUGAGCGGUUGGAGAGAAAGAAGGCGCGUGAGGCGAAAAAUGCGGCCAGGGAGGAGAAGGAGCACAUGGAUCAGCUGGAGCGGCUGAAGGACACUGACCCCGAGUUCUACUCCUAUCUUGAGGAGGAAGACCCGACGCUGCUGGAGUUCGGCAAGGAGGACAUCGACGUCGUGGAGGAGAACGACGGCAGCGACGCGGAGACGGAGAUGGACGACGAAGAGAGUCGCGGAGGCGAGAACGACGAGGACAACGGGGAGGCGGACGGCGGUGAUGAAGAGGGCAGCGACGGCGCGGCGCCGCGCCGUGGCCGUAUCACUCGCGAAGAGGUCACGCAGCUGACGAGCGCCGGCAGCGGUGUGGAGUCAUGCAUCGACGUCUUCGUCUCCGCUGUUCGUGAGCUUGGUUAUCAGGUCAAGGAGCACCCUCGGCCUCAGUCCACUCGCAAGUUCGAGGAGCCGGCUCUGGUGAAGGAGGCGCUGGUGUCGGUGGCGCAGCAUGUUGGCAAGCAGCUCAGCACCUUCAUCACGGGCAAGGGCUCCUUCAAGUCGCACAAGACGCGCAUGCUAGUGAAGCGUCUCCUCAUGGCUCUCUCGUCUGUGAUUGGCGAGGGCAACAUCGACGCCGUCUUGUCCGCGAGCCUCCUUCACGCCAUCGUGCCCUUUGUGCCGCUGCUACACUACGUGCGUGGCGUUACCAAGACGGUGCUGAAGGCGUCGCUGCAUCUCUGCGCCGCUCCUGAGGAGUCAGUGCGCGUCGCGGCUUACAUGGUGGUGCGCUCUGUUGCAACCCGCGCGGCCGGUACGCGCUCCAUGUACCAGUCGACAGCCUUCAAGGGCAUCUUUCUCACGCUCAUCCGCACUGCCCACCAAUACAACAUCCACAACCAAACCACGGUUGCUUUUCUCAUGAACUGCGUCGUAGACCUCUACGGCACUGACAUGGAGGCCGCGUACCAGCACACCUUUGUGUACCUGCGCCAGCUGGCCAUCUACCUGCGUGCAGCGUUGCAGCAGCAGACGCAGAGCAACGUUCGCGCCGUAGUCAAUUGGCAGUACCUGAAUGCGCUGCGCACGUGGGGGGCAGUGGUGUCGACGUACUCGGAACCGAAUCAGCUAGGGCCGCUCAUCCACCCCGUCGUGCAGAUCGCCACGGCCCUGAUGGACCUCUUUUCCUCGCCACGCAUGUUUCCGAUGCACCUCCAGAUUAUUGAAGUGCUGAACCACAUCGCUAGUCGUGCCGACGGGCUCUACAUCCCUGUCGCACCGUACCUGCUCCGCAUUCUGACCUCUCCGAGUGUUGCCCUCUCACACGCUCAAAAUGGCGUCUCGUCUAGUGCAGACCGGGUCGACUUGCUUUUCACCAUCCGCGUAAAGAAGUCGCAGGCGCGCAACAGUGUCUACCAUCGCGACGUCUGGAACGAGGCUCUGUACCUCCUCACCGAGCACCUUGCCACCCACAGCCACACCGUGGGCUUCCCCGAGGCCUUCUGGGCGGUUGAGAGCACGCUGCGCAAGCUCAGGACGCAGGUGCGUGUGCCGAAGGUGCACUCUAGCAUCAACAACCUGCUGCGUCACAUCCAGACGACCUCGCAGAAGAUCAAGGCGAAGCGUGACCAGGCCAACUUUGGUCCGUGCGAUCUUGCCGCAGUGAAGCAGUUCGAGGACGAGCUGAAGCAGAAGGGGAGCGCACUCGCGUCGUACUACCACACUAUGCGGCAGCAGCGCAUCGACGACCUCGCCGCGAAGCACAAGGACGCGUCGGGCGAGCGCGUCACCCUUGAGUCUGUUGCGGGGAAGCACAAGAACAGUCGAACGGCUGAUGGCAAGCGGAACCGCCCGCAGGUGCGCCGCGACGCGUAAGGUGCGUAGCAGACCAUCGAACGGUAACAGACCUGUAAACGCCACUUCUGAGGCGCCGCUUGGGUGUAAUGUUGCGCCUGGGCAAGACAGAGGCGCUCUCCAUCUUUCUUGUUCCCCUUUCCGCGGAUGUGCGUGCCACCGGGGCGUAUCGUAGCGUUCCUUUUCCCCUCUGCGGGUGGUAAUGAUGAUUGGGGUAUGCGCGUGCUAGCGAAAGUGGAUAACAACCUAAUGCGACUAAAGAAAUGCUUCUCUGUGCGUUCUUUCUUUUGUUCGGUGUUCUCUUUUCGGCCGUCAGCGCUUCAGCCUGAGCACGUCUACGUGUGCUGUGCCCUGGCGAUGAUUGCCUUUUUGGCCAUUGUUUUUGUGGGUAUGAGUGUGCUCUGGGGCACCGCUGAGUAGUGGCGGUGCGGCUCGCGGGCCUGUUACCGCCGUAAGAGAAAGCGCGUCAGCAGAAAAG
rnacentral:misc_RNA from 1 species